rnacentral:rRNA from 1 species
GAUGAACGCUGGCGGCGUGCUUAAUACAUGCAAGUCGAACGGAAAGGCCAUGCUCUUGUGGGGUGCACGAGUGGCGAACGGGUGAGUAACACACGUGUAACCUCCCCCUAUCUUUGGGAUAACUCUUGGAAAAUGGGGCUAUUACCGGAGAGGAGCUCUUGCACCACGGGGGGGGUUGGAAAGAUUCGGCUGUUGGGGAUGGUCUCGCGGCUUCCCCGCUUGUUGGGGGGGUAGGUGCGUUCAAAGGUUAUGAAGGGUAGCCCGCCUGGGAGGGUGACCGGCCACAAUGGGACUGCGAUACGGCCCAGUCUGCUACGGGAGGCAGCGGUGGGGAAUAUUGCGCAAUAGGCGGGAGCCAGAUGCAACGACGCCGCGUGCGGAAUGACGGCCUUCGGGUUGUAAACCGCUGUCGACUGUGACGAAGCGUGAGUGACGGUAAUGGGUAAGAAAGCACCGGCUAACUACGUG